rnacentral:rRNA from 1 species
GACGAACGCUGGCGGCGUGCUUAACACAUGCAAGUCGAGCGGUAAGGCCCUUCCGGGGGUACACGAGCGGCGAACGGGUGAGUAACACGUGGGUGACCUGCCCUCAGCUCUGGGAUAAGCCUGGGAAACUGGGUCUAAUACCGGAUAUGACUCCAUGACGCAUGUUGUGGGGUGGAAAGCCUUGUGCGGCUGAGGAUGGGCCCGCGGCCUAUCAGCUUGUUGGGUGGGGGAUGGCCUACCAAGGCGACGACGGGUAGCCGGCCUGAGAGGGCGACCGGCCACACUGGGACUGAGACACGGGCCCAGACUCCUACGGGGAGGCAGCAGUGGGGAAUCUUGCGCAAUGGGCGAAAGCCUGACGCAGCGACGCCGCGUGAGGGAUGACGGCCUGGUU